GCCUAGGUGGCUCAGUCAGUUAAGCAUCUGACUUCAGCUCAGGUCAUGAUCUCACGGUUAGUGGGUUCAAACCCCACGUCAGGCU
rnacentral:tRNA from 1 species